AGUUUGUUCUGGGUAUAAGCUUUCGUGUGCAUAUCUGAAGAAGUGUACAUGCACACAAAAGCUUAUACCCAGAACAAACU